rnacentral:lncRNA from 1 species
GUUCUCGAACCUGGGCUCUUAAAGAGGCCGGCGUUUGGGAUUUUUAGGUAGCAGGACGCCUCCAAGCGAACAGUCCUGAGAACCCGGACCGAUACACUCUCCGAGAGACGGUCAAGGAGAUGGACCGCCAGCCAGGACUAGCGGGAACCCUCCGCUGGGCAAACGAUGGUUUUCGAACUUAAGUGAAACAUUGGUAAUGGAGUAUCUACGAGGUGGGAGACAGACUGGCAAGACUUAUUUCCUGGUCCCAAUGAAUGAGAUGAAGAGACCGUUCCAUUCCCAUCCUUAGAGGCAUUCAACCCACAGUCCCUGCUAAGUGAGCAGGAAGCAUGUAAUGCACUUGUCUUCUGGCCAUAGACGAUGGACCAGGAGUAAGUCCUGACCUGAGGCAGAGAAGGA